rnacentral:rRNA from 1 species
UACGAAGGGGGCUAGCGUUGUUCGGAAUCACUGGGCGUAAAGCGCACGUAGGCGGAUUGUUAAGUCGGAGGUGAAAUCCCAGGGCUCAACCCUGGAACUGCCUUCGAUACUGGCUAUCUCGAGUCCGGGAGAGGUGGGUGGAACUGCGAGUGUAGAGGUGAAAUUCGUAGAUAUUCGCAAGAACACCAGUGGCGAAGGCGGCUCACUGGCCCGGUACUGACGCUGAGGCACGAAGGCCAGGGGAGCAAACGGG